CAGGCCAGGAGGAGGAACACGACUAAAAUAAAUCAUAGCAACAUAAUAAAUCUCUGCAUUUCCAUCAUCUAUGGUUCACUAGACGCAUCUUACUGCUCAUAAUGAGGAUCAUUUCUUUCUCCAACGGCGCUGCUUCACUAGCAGACGCAGAGAGGAAACAUGAAGCGGGCCGACAGCUGCUGGUGUCAGUGCUGCUGCAGCAGCGGCGUUUACCGCUGCAGCUGCAGCAGCAGACAGGUUGGACCGGUGAGCGAGGCAGCGGCGCAUGCAGGACAGAACGUGACACGCUGAUGGCUUUUCUAAACGAUGAACUGAUGACAGCUUUACUUUGAUACCAGAUGAAUGAGAACGCAAGUGAAACAGUCCAACAACAGGCUUCAUGGAAACGUCACAGUAAACAAACCAACCAGGAAAGCAGCAGGAAGAAAGUUCAAGAUGUUCAGACAUAAAUAUAAUAAUUACCUGGAUGAGUAAUGAAAAUAUUAGCAACAACAUGUGGGCUGCUUCCUGCCAGGUCCAAAACAACCAGGCGGUUCUGAACUCUAACAAAAAAAUACUACAAAGAAAAGAAACAAUUAUUGAGACGCCAAAAUAAUAAACAUCAGGAUGUUCAGCAGUAAAAAGAGACGUAGGAGGUUUGAAACACGACGAGACGAGACGCCAA